AGAGUUUGAUCAUGGCUCAGAAUGAACGCUGGCGGCAUGGAUUAGGCAUGCAAGUCGAACGUGCUCCCUUCGGGGAGAAAGUGGCGAAAGGGUGAGUAACACGUGAGCAACCUGACCUCCGGAUCCGGAAUAAUCCAGGGAAACUUGGUCUAAAACCGGAUGAAGACAUUGGUCCGCAUGGUCUAAUGUUAAAAUAUUUAUAGUCCGGAGAGGGGCUCGCGGCCCAUUAGCUUGUUGGCGGGGUAAUGGCCACCAAGGCUACGACGGGUAGGUGGUCUGAGAGGAUGGUCACCCACACUGGGACUGAGACACUGCCCAGACUCCUACGGGAGGCUGCAGUCGAGAAUCUUCCGCAAUGGGCGCAAAGCCUGACGGAGCGAUGCCGCGUGAGGGAUGAAGGCCUUCGGGUUGUAAACCUCUGUCAUCCGGGACGAAAACAAUGACGGUACCGGAAAAGGAAGCCACGGCUAACCACGUGCCAGCAGCGGC
rnacentral:rRNA from 1 species